rnacentral:rRNA from 1 species
UAGGGAAUCUNUCCGCAAUGGGCGAAAGCCUGACGGAGCAACGCCGCGUGAGUGAUGAAGGUCUUCGGAUCGUAAAACUCUGUUAUUAGGGAAGAACAUAUGUGUAAGUAACUGUGCACAUCUUGACGGUACCUAAUCAGAAAGCCACGGCUAACUACGUGCCAGCAGCCGCGGUAAUACGUAGGUGGCAAGCGUUAUCCGGAAUUAUUGGGCGUAAAGCGCGCGUAGGCGGUUUUUUAAGUCUGAUGUGAAAGCCCACGGCUCAACCGUGGAGGGUCAUUGGAAACUGGAAAACUUGAGUGCAGAAGAGGAAAGUGGAAUUCCAUGUGUAGCGGUGAAAUGCGCAGAGAUAUGGAGGAACACCAGUGGCGAAGGCGACUUUCUGGUCUGUAACUGACGCUGAUGUGCGAAAGCGUGGGGAUCAAACAGGAUUAGAUACCCUGGUAGUCCACGCCGUAAACGAUGAGUGCUAAGUGUUAGGGGGUUUCCGCCCCUUAGUGCUGCAGCUAACGCAUUAAGCACUCCGCCUGGGGAGUACGACCGCAAGGUUG